rnacentral:rRNA from 1 species
AUGGUCCCCAACGGCAAGGCAGUCGAGUCAGCCCCGUUCGACGUCGCCGGCCGCGCCUGCCGAAUCAGGUGCUAUCCGAACGGCAGCGGCAAGAAACACUACGGCUACACGUCCCUCUUCCUCACCAGCCACUGCGACGACGGCACGGUAAGGCUAGAGCUCAGCGUGCUCGAUCGGGACGGGAAUCCGUCUCGCACUCGAGCCACGGAAAAGCGGCGCUUCUGGAUCGGCGACAGCUGGGGCUGGGGCUUUAAGGAUUUCGUGAAGAACGACGAUCUGGUCGAGGGAGAGCACCUCGUGGACGACUGCCUCAUCGUCCUCUGCGACGUCACCGUCCACGACCCUUCCUUGCACGCCGAGGAGGUUGCCGCGCCGGUUGUGGCGCCUCCGUUCGACCUAAGUGGGGAGCUCGGGGAGGCCAUGUGGAACGAGACGGACGUGACGAUCCACGUCGGCGACGAGACGUUCCCGGCGCACCGGUCGGUGCUGGAGGCUGCGUCCGCCGUCUUCAAGGCGGACCUCGAGAACAACGGCACCGGCGAGGUACGCGUCGACGACAUGGACGCCCAGGUGUUCAAGACCCUGCUGCAGUUCAUGUACACGAGCGUGCUGCCUGACAAGAACCAGCUCGAGGCAGACGCCGCGACGGCGGAGCGGCUGCUCGUGGCGGCGGACAGGUACGGGCUGGAGAAGAUAAAGGUCGUCUGCGAGGAGGCGCUGUGCCCGCGCGUCAACAUGGGCUCCGUGGGCACCAUGCUGGCGUUGGCGGAGCGGCACGGAGGUGCCGUCCUGAAGAAGGCGUGCAUGGAGUUCCUCUCGAUCCCCGGUAACCUAUUAUCAUUCAUGGCGACCGAGGGUUUUGAGGAGCUCAAGAGAACCCAGCUUGGGUGCUGGAGCUUCACGUGA